rnacentral:rRNA from 1 species
UACGGGGGGAGCAAGCGUUGUUCGGAUUUACUGGCGUAAAGGGCGCGUAGGCGGUCGUGACAAGUCACUUGUGAAAUCUCCGGGCUUAACUCGGAAAGGUCAAGUGAUACUGUCGGACUAGAGUACAGAAGGGGCAACUGGAAUUCUCGGUGUAGCGGUGAAAUGCGUAGAUAUCGAGAGGAACACCUGCGGCGAAGGCGGAAUCUCUGGGCCUUACCUGACGCUCAGGUGCGAAAGCUAGGGGAGCGAACAGG